CCUACGGGUGGCAGCAGUGAGGAAUAUUGGUCAAUGGAGGAAACUCUGACCCAGCAAUGCCGCGUGAAUGAAGAAGGUCUUCGGAUUGUAAAGUUCUUUAGUCAGGGAAGAAGUCAAUGACGGUACCUGAAGAAUAAGCUCCGGCUAACUACGUGCCAGCAGCCGCGGUAAUACGUAGGGAGCAAGCGUUGUUCGGAAUGACUGGGCGUAAAGGGUGCGUAGGCGGUUGUACAAGUUAGAAGUGAAAUACCCAGGGCUUAACCAUAGAACUGCAUUUGAAACUGUUAUUCUAGAGUAUGGGAGAGGUAGGUGGAAUUCUUGGUGUAGGGGUAAAAUCCGUAGAGAUCAAGAGGAAUACUCAUUGCGAAGGCGACCUGCUAGAACAUAACUGACGCUGAUGCGCGAAAGCGUGGGGAGCAAACAGGAUUAGAUACCCGGGUAGUC
rnacentral:rRNA from 1 species